rnacentral:rRNA from 1 species
AGCGAACGCUGGCGGCAGGCCUAACACAUGCAAGUCGAACGAACCUUUCGGGGUUAGUGGCGGACGGGUGAGUAACACGUGGGAACGUGCCUUUAGGUUCGGAAUAACUCAGGGAAACUUGUGCUAAUACCGAAUGUGCCCUUCGGGGGAAAGAUUUAUCGCCUUUAGAGCGGCCCGCGUCUGAUUAGCUAGUUGGUUGAGGUAAUGGCUCACCAAGGCGAUGAUCAGUAGCUGGUCUGAGAGGAUGAUCAGCCACAUUGGGACUGAGACACGGCCCAAACUCCUACGGGAGGCAGCAGUGGGGAAUCUUGCGCAAUGGGCGAAAGCCUGACGCAGCCAUGCCGCGUGAAUGAUGAAGGUCUUAGGAUUGUAAAAUUCUUUCACCGGGGACGAUAAUGACGGUACCCGGAGAAGAAGCCCCGGCUAACUUCGUG